rnacentral:lncRNA from 1 species
CAUUGUCAACAAAAGUAACAAUUGUAAUAAUAAAAAUGAUAAAAAGAGUAACAACAUAAACAAAGAAAAAAAUAAUGGAAAAAAAAUAAACAAGGAUAUUUAUAAGAUAGUAGAUGGAAUUGGAACUGAUAACAAUAGUAACAAUAGUAGUAAUGGUAAUAAUGACCAUAUUAUUGAGAAAGACAAUACUAACAAGUUGAAUGAUAAAGACAACAAAGACAACAUUGUAGUUGAACAAGUUACUGUAAAUAAUAAUGAAGAAUACGAAAUUAAAGAUAAACAAAAUUAUAAUAAAGGCAGUAAAAAAGGUGAACAAGGUAUUAUUCCAAAUUGUAAUAUUUUAGAACUUAACCAACAAAAUCAACAAAAUCAACAUAAAAAUAUGAAUCGAAAAAACAAGAAAAAUAAAAAAAAUGAUAGUAACAAAAUUCCAAAUAAUACUAAAACUGUUAAAAAUGAAGUGAAAAUAAAGAAUAUAUUUGUUACUAAUGUGGACAGUAAUAGUAGUAACAACAUUGUAGCUGCUACAACAAAUGGAAUUACGUUUGGUAAAAAAAGUGGUAGUAAUAAUAAUAAUACAUAAUAAUAAUAAUAAUAAUAAUAAUAAUAAUAAUAAUAAUGACACUAUUUUGAUGAAUAGUUUAAAUGCAAGUAAUAUAUACAAAAAAACAAGUAUACAUAAAAAUGUAACAAAAAAGUAUUAUAAUGAGAAAGGAGAAAAUGAAGUAGUAAAUGUAACAGAAAAUGGUACAUAUGUUGAUAUAAAAUCUAUAAUAAAUAAUGCUAUUGAAACAAAUAAUAAUAUUUUGACUUAUGAUACACAUAAUAAUUAUAUUAAUAUAUCUGAUAGUAAUAAUUUUAAUCAAUUAAAUCAUGAUGAAUAUUAUGACAGAUAUGAUAUUAACGUUAACAAUUGUGGUAAUGAUAAUUAUGUAAAUAAAGAUACAUAUACAGGUAUAGAAAAUUAUAACAAUGUGAAUAUAUACAAUAACAAAAAUAAUAGUAACAAUCAAUAUAGCGGUAAUAAUAAUAUCUCUUAUGAAUAUAAUUAUAAUAAAUAUUUGAAUGAAAAUAUUAAUAACAGUUCAGAACAAGAACAGCAAAAAGAAAAGCAAAAAGAAAAGCAAAAAGAACAAAAAAAAGAACAAAAAAAAGAACAAAAAAAAGAACAAAAAAAUGAACAAAAAAAUGAACAAAAAAAUGAACAAAAAAANNNNNNNNNNGAACAAAAAAAUGAACAAAAAAAUGAACAAAAAAAUGAACAAAAAAAUGAACAAGAAACAAAUCUAAAAUUAACAACAUUUUCACCUUGUAAUUACGAGGAGAAUAAUAAAAAUACAUCUAUGGAUAAAAUAAAUCAUAAAAACAAUAUAGUAGAGAUAAAUAAUAAUUAUAAUAAUAAUAAUAAUAAUAAUAAUGCACUAAUAAAUAAUGAUAAUAAAUACUCAUAUAAUAAUAUAUGUAAUGAUAUGUUUUAUGGUAAUGAUGACAUUUAUAAUAUAUUUUCAAGAUUUGAUUCGAUGAAAAUUUAUGAAGGUAAUAACAAUAGCGGUUUUAAUAAUGGCAGCAACAACAACAGUAACAGUAAUAACAACAGU